rnacentral:piRNA from 1 species
UGAUGCCCACAGAAAGAUUGGUCAGAG